rnacentral:rRNA from 1 species
GACGUAGGGCGCGAGCGUUGUCCGGAUUUAUUGGGCGUAAAGAGCUCGUAGGCGGCUUGUCGCGUCGUUCGUGAAAACCUGCAGCUCAACUGCAGGCUUGCGGUCGAUACGGGCAGGCUAGAGUUCGGUAGGGGAGACUGGAAUUCCUGGUGUAGCGGUGAAAUGCGCAGAUAUCAGGAGGAACACCGGUGGCGAAGGCGGCAUCCUGGACCGGUAUUGACGCUGAGGCGCGAAAGCCAGGGGAGCAAACGGG